GAUGAACGCUGGCGGCGUGCCUAAUACAUGCAAGUCGAGCGAACAGAUGAGGAGCUUGCUCCUCUGACGUUAGCGGCGGACAGGUGAGUAACACGUGGAUAACCUACCUAUCAGACUGGGAUAACUUCGGGAAACCGGAGCUAAUACCGGAUAAUAUAUUGAACCGCAUGGUUCAUUAGUGAAAGACGGUUUUUCUGUCACUUAUAGAUGGAUCCGCGGCGCAUUAGCUUGUUGGUAAGGUAAUGGCCUACCAAGGCGACGAUGCGUAGCCGACCUGAGAGGGGGGUCGGCGACAACAGUAGGAAGAAGACGUCGCGAAGACUACGAGAGGAGGCAGCAGGGAAGCAUAUGGAAUGAGCGAAAGAAGGACGGAGCAGCGACGCGUCGGGGAUGAAGGACUUCUGAUCGUAAAACUCUGUUAUUAGGGAAGAACAAAUGUGUCCGUAACUAUGCACGGCUUGACGGUACCUAGUCAGAAAGCCACGGCUAACUACGUG
rnacentral:rRNA from 1 species